rnacentral:rRNA from 1 species
GCACUUUCAGUGUUCGAGUUGUAAUUUGAAGAAGGUAACUUUGGUUUUGGCUCUUGUCUAUGUUCCUUGGAACAGGACGUCACAGAGGGUGAGAAUCCCGUGCGAUGAGAUGCCCAAUUCCAUGUAAAGUGCUUUCGAAGAGUCGAGUUGUUUGGGAAUGCAGCUCUAAGUGGGUGGUAAAUUCCAUCUAAAGCUAAAUAUUGGCGAGAGACCGAUAGCGAACAAGUACAGUGAUGGAAAGAUGAAAAGAACUUUGAAAAGAGAGUGAAAAAGUACGUGAAAUUGUUGAAAGGGAAGGGCUUGAGAUCAGACUUGGUAUUUUGCGUUCCCUUCCUUUUUGGUUGGGUUCCUCGCAGUUUACUGGGCCAGCAUCGGUUUGGAUGGUAGGAUAAUGACAUUGGAAUGUAGCUUUACUUCGGUGAAGUGUUAUAGACUUUGUUGAUACUGCCUAUCUAGACCGAGGACUGCGUCUUUGACUAGGAUGCUGGCGUAAUGAUCUUAAGCCG